CCUACGGGGGGCUGCAGUGAGGAAUAUUGGUCAAUGGGCGCUAGCCUGAACCAGCCAAGUAGCGUGAAGGAUGACUGCCCUCUGGGCUGUAAACUUCUUUUAUAUGGGAAUAAAGUGCAGUAUGUAUACUGCUUUGCAUGUACCUUAUGAGUAAGGAUCGGCUAACUCCGUGCCAGCAGCCGCGGUAAUACGGAGGAUCCGAGCGUUAACCGGAUUUAUGGGGUUUAAAGGGAUCGUAGGCGGGUUGUUAAGUCAGUUGUGAAAGUUUGCGGCUCAACCGUAAAAUUGCAGUUGAUACUGGCAUCCUUGAGUACAGGAGAGGUAGGUGGAAUUCGUGGUGCAGCGGUGAAAUGCUUAGAUAUCACGAAGAACUCCGAUUGCGAAGGCAGCCUGCUGGACUGUAACUGACGCUGAUGCGCGAAAGUGUGGGUAUCAAACAGGAUUAGAUACCCGUGUAGUC
rnacentral:rRNA from 1 species